rnacentral:lncRNA from 1 species
UCCUACGUCCGCAGUCCGCAGGAUUUAUCCGUAGGACCAUCAAAGAAAGGUCCAGGUGAUUUAUCCGUAGGACCAUCCAUAUGGAAGUAGGACUAUCCGUAAUUAACCGAAGUAGCUAUCUCAAAAAGAUAGAGUCGCUACGCUCCAUAUCCAGUUGUUUAAGGCUGUCCGCUACGCUUCAAAUACAAAGGGGUAGAACCGCUACGCUACCCUUCUUUUAUUAAGGUAGAAGCCACCGAUCCGCUACGCUAAGCUGGAAAACAUCAAAGAAAGGCGCAAAGAACAAAGGUCCAGAUGACUAUCCCCCACGGUGCGGUGCAAAGAAUAUUGCGAGGAGUGCAAGUAUGAAUCAGGGGUCCAAUCAAGAAAUUUCUUUCACUCUGACCGCAACUCAUAUUAGAUCUCGCCUCGUGCAACUUCUCGAGUUAUCAUUUAUUGAUCAGAUCAUAUAAUGGCCAUGUUCUGGGGUCCUGGCAUCUUCCAUCGUUCACUCCACACUUGGAUGAAAUCCAUUCUCCGUAUUACCUCUCUUCCUAAUGGUCUCGGCUUUCCUUCAUUUGUGGUCAACCCCUCUUUCUUUUCUGAUUUGAGCACUAUCGCAUCAUUUCCUGGUGUGGUUAGCUGCAGAGGAUCUUUAUCCAAACCAGGGGCGCUUUACUUUACCUGCAGACUGAUUAAGGGCUUAGAUAUUCUCAUUGCUGACCUGACCGUCUCGUCGCUAACAGAUACCAAGAGUAGUUUGUUGGUAAACGUUUCCAUAUCACUUGGAAAAAGUUUGAUAUGUGAUACCGGUUGCUUCGAGUUUGCCAAGAAGUUCUUUGUCACCUGUGAUGGGCAAAAGAUGAACCUCUCACCCGUGUCCCUUGCUUGCUUCGGCUCGAUCAAUUCAGGGAGUCUGUCAGCUUAGCCAACGAUAUGCUGUCUCGUCUCCCCGUCUCACCUUUCGCUUAUAUGGGGCUGGAUACCGUGUACGUUCUCAUACUCCUCCUCUCGAUCCCGGAAAUGGGAGAGAUUGUGGGUAGCUAGAACGAAGCCUCCUGGAACAUCUCCACUACCACUUGAGUGGUGGGUUGGUAGGGGUAACCCUAUGAAUCCCUACUUAUUGGGACAAAUAGUGGAUAUGCUAAGGCGGGAGCUAAAGCCGAAGGAAAUUCGGCUGGCUCCAUCAGAUCUCUUCGGAGGGGAAGGAGCGAAGCAGCUUUACCGUGUUGGAGAGAAAGAGGAAGAAAGAAAGGGAUAAAGUUAUCAUCUAUUUAGUCAAAUAAGAACAUAAGCGAAGGUGCAAAGUUCUAAUGGAUAGUCCGGAGUCCGCAGUGCCAAAGAAAGGUCCAGGUGAUUUAUCCGUAGGACCAUCCAUAUGGAGGGAAGGAGGACUAUCCAUUAGAAGGAUCAAAGAAUAGACCCGUAUUUCUCCGGACCAUAAACCAUAAUCAAACUCUGUUCAUUUCUUUUCCCUGUCCUAGGAGUUCUUCUUUCAUUGCGUUUUCCCGGCUUUUUUGCUUCUAAAUAGGACUUUUUCGACUUUUCUUAUCUAACGAUAAAAGUACUUUUUUGACUGAUUUUUUGUCUUUUCUUGCUACUUUAUAGGCCCAAAACCUAGCAUUUCCCUCCGCGGAUUCAUCUGAAAUCUAGCAGAUUCUUUUUUUUCUUCUUUCAUUAUCGUUAAUGAGCUGUCCUACGUGCCAAAGAAAGGUCCAGGGUCCGGAGGAUUUAUCCGUAGGACUAUCCAUUAGAAGCAGGAUUUAUCCGGAGGACUAUCCAUUAGAAGCAGGAUUUAUCCGGAGGACUAUCCAUUAGAAGGAAGUCGGACUUUCCGUAAUUAACCGAACUUUGCGCCUCAACAUAAAAAGAUAAAGCGAGCUUCCUUCUGGUCUUGUACGUACGGAUGAAAGGGAUGCAUCUUCCCUCGCAUCUCUCGCAGCCCCUUUGCUUUCGUCGCUAGGUUGUGGCUUGGAUCCGUAGCAUAGCAUUCAAAGUUUCAGAAGCAAGACGGGAUUUACCCGAUACCGGUUUGGAAGUGUGAUCAUUGUCUUUAAAUGCAUGAAGAAAGUUCAGAUCGAAAGAACCGAACCAAGACGAGCCCAAGACCCCAGGUGGAAUGUUCCAAACCCCCAUUUGUUAGCUAAAAUGAGAAAUUCAAUGGAUCUACGAAUAUGAAUUCAGCCUUAUCAAUGAUCUUUGCUCCUCAAGAGGAGCCGUAGGUAGGAGUCUUAAAGAGCGGGAGGGGAGCCAUAUUUUCUUCUUAUAUAGUUCAGGACUUGGAUAGGUCUUCCCCGUUCGCAGGUGCGAAGCGGCUAGAGGGGAUUUAUAUGCCCGAUAUUCACCCCUUUACUUACCGAUUUACCGACUUCUAGGAUCAGUUAGCAUAUUCAAAAGUCCUUUUCCAUCAAAUGAGAGGAAAAUGGGAUAAGACAAGGCGGCUAGGCUGAAGGCAAGGAAGUCCAAAAAGACUGAUUUUACGUGCAAACUUCCAGCUAGCAUAGGGCGAAGACUUCCCAUAGUCUAAGCAUUCUGCCCCGUCAGGCUCCCACUCCGCGGUUCCAAGGCCACCUCACCUGGGUUCAUUCUCUGAGAGGGAAAGAAGAAGUUCACCCAUUGAGGAUGCGGGGCAGAGGCAAAGCCGAGACCGAUCCAUAAAAAAAUCAAGCUCCAGAUGAGUUGACGAGGGCUAUUUGCCCGAUGAAGACCUACCUCUUCGGAUUCUUUUCUUCAUUCCUUAUUCAUUCCCACGUAGCGGUAUUUUCAGGAAAGAAUUUGCUCGACCAGUCCGAAGGACGCCUAUUUUUUGGACUUGAUUUAUGGUAUGGGGCUCGUCUUCUUUUUCUUAACUCAUAAAUCUCUCUUAUUCUAAUCCCACUCCACGGGACUCGAAGCAGAAGGAUUCCAAUCCAAAAAAGUUGUUUCAGUUGAAUAGGAAUAAGUACUCCAGAAGAAAGGAGAGACUGCAGAUCGAAAGGAAAGGACGAGGCCCUCGUGCCAAGAUCAGAUGGAUCAAGGCGCGAAGAGCUAAAGUCAGCGAAUAAGAGAAGAGCGUCAGCGGAAGCUAAAGGUUCGAAAGAUUACUAUAUUAGCUCGAGUGUCAGAGGUUCAGAUUAGACCAACCCACGGGACGGAUUUGUACUCGUUGGAUCUUCAAGGCCUUCCCGUAAAAUACCGUCUUGCUCAAAGCGCGUAGUGCCCUUCCCUGCCAAAUGCUUUUACCUUCCAAGAAAUAGGAUAGAGGAUUCGGUAAAGGAAUGAACCCCCCAUUGACUCAAUUUGCUCUAAUCUAAAGUUGAGAGGGAAGAUGGGCCAGGAUAGCAGUCCUUGGUUCUUUCCUUUAGUUGAACCUCGUUGUAGUUGACAGAGUUUAGGAAGAGGCUGAAGGGAAGGUUUCACGGAUAAAGAAGGAGAAAGGUAGGAUACAAGCCGAGUGAAAUCCCACUUUCUUUGCAAGAUCAUGAUAUUCCACUACAAAAGAAAAAAGAAGUGCAAGCGCGUAGUGGGUAGGGGCCUUCGACCAGAAAGGGUAUGGGUGCCCAGUUAAGAACUGCUCCCGUUGUAAGCCUACCAAGAUAAGGAUGCCUUGGCUCGACUGAAAGGAGUCAAUGAACAAGGGAAGAGAACUCCCCAAGACCAGCAUUCUUGGAUCUCUCAUAAGGCCCACGUAGCGGGAGCUCAGCAGCUUGACCAAAGGAUAGAAGGAACUCAACUAGGUUGUAGCAGUUUCGAUCAGAAGCGAGACCUGUCUCAUUGAUAAGGACAUAUGAACCUCUCCUUUCCAUAACCUUUUCCGCCUAUCGAGCCUUUGUCCUCAAAGAAAGGUCCAGGUGACUUCUUUAUCCAUAUGAAUUAGGGGAAGGUAACCGCUUUACCCAUGAGGAGUGAACUAGCCAGAACUAGGAAGGAAGAAAAAGAAGAAGAAGAGCUUUCUCUCAAAUUCUUUGAGCCUUUCCUUUCUAUAGAAUCAAUAUGAAAAUGAAACUUGGUCUUGAGCUCAGAACUCUUUUCAUAGGUUCCCUUGCUAAGAAAAGACUAAGACAGCCCACGGAGCGGUUAUCGCUAUCCCAAUACUGAAAGAGAGAGAGUUGGAAAGGGUACUAGAAAGUAGCUCGACCUCGACUAGUCCCGUAAAGCUGAUUAUUUCUUGAGGGAUAGUAGCCGUCUAACUGAAAGAGGGGAAUCGGCCUAUCCUGUCAAGGUUGAGGGACGGAAGCUGCUCGCCCAGAGCUAUCCCAUCUCGACUAAGCCGCUAUCCGAGAAGAGGUUAUCUAAUCACUAUCCCAAAGGGAGAGGGUAUCUAUUAUAUAGGCUAACCCGACUUCCAAGGAGCGAAGCACGGAGAGGAAAGGAGCCUCAUCAGUCUGUCUCGGAAGCAAGGGAAUGAGAUCUUUCUACAAAGGUAGCAUGAGAAGUUGCAUAAAGCAUGAAGAAAGUAGGCCCCAGGUCGGCCUCUCUUGAGUCAGAGUCGGAGGCAGUGGCAGUUCGACAGGCUCAGCUCAAAGAAUGGAAUGAUCGUGUGGCAGCAGUCGCUCUUGCUUUAGUUGUCUCUGUGGCAGAAGUCGUAGUAGUUGACAGAGUGUAGGAAGUCAAUUGCUUUGAUUCUUGAAAAGCGAUUAUUGAGAAAUAUGGUAUGAACAAGUAGAAAAAAAUCUUUCUCACACUGGUCCGAAGACCUCCCUCCUAAAACUCUCCGGUGGGGCCUUUCUCAUAAAGUAGAAUAAAAAGAGGGGAAGGAAUAUAGUAUGAAUGUAAAGGAAGAAGAAGAAGAAAGCCCACCUUCCAUCUAAUGGAUAGUCCGGAGGACCACGGAGCGGUUCAAAGAAGAUUUUCGAAGGCGCAAAGAAUAUUGCUCGAAAUUUGAUGAGAGUCAUGAUCCCUUUCAUGCAGCUGCUUAAAAAAGCUCAAAGUGAGAAGACAAAGAACAAAGAAUAUUGAGAAUUUGAGAAGGAUUUCCAUACUAGAUGGAGCCAUAGUCGAAUUCGUACCUGGCGGUGGAAGGAAUUCAAUGACUCGACUAAAGAGGAAUUUGCCCUUUGAUUUGAGGCAGUUAGUAGCUUAAUAGUAGGGUUGUAGAGGCCUGGUGGCGGAAGACAGAGCCAAGGUGCAAAGAAUAUUGCGAGCUCUUUGCACUGUGAAAGAACCCUCUUUCUAAAGUCAAGAUCGGAGUGAGCUUACAAUAGAGAGGAGCAAGGCUCGACUAAGCCUACGAAGGAGAGGGCGAGACCACGUAUUAAUUUCAUUGUCUGCAGUUGAUGUCCCACCAGUGGCAGGGAUCUCUUUUUCUAGCUUGGGCAGGCUCUUGCCUUCGUGCUCCUGUUGAGAGGAUGAUGCCUCAUCCGUUCAGAAAUUGAACGAAAUUGAUUCACAUUCAUGAGAAGAAGCAAUAUAAGAGGAUAGGCCCCCAGUAAGAGGAAUCCCCCCAGUUUAUGUCCCCGAAGGAUCUUUCCUUUCCAGGGAUAUCUUGAGCUAGGCCGUGAACCUCAAAAUUCAAGACUUUUGAGAAAUCUCUUAGAAAGGGCACCCAUUGUGCACCUCGGGCACCUUCUCCCCUCGUAGGGCAGUCAAAGAAGAGCCGCAAUAUUCUUUGCACCGCGGAGUGGGUUUGAGAUAGGUUUUCUCUUUCGGGUAAAAGAGAGAGUUCCGGAUUCUGGGGAGACUUUCUGCUGAAUGAUAGUUGGAGUUGCGCGUAGAUGUGCUCCUCUGCAAAAGGCAGGCUAUUCUCAUAUCAGGCCCGGGGGGUUGUACUAAUUACUGUAUUUGCAUCGCCGACGAGGUCCGGCAACGAGGAAAGGAAGGGGCCGUCCCCUCAGCCUCAGGGAAAAAGGGGAGAGAACUAUCCUUCAGUUUCUCCUAUUGAAUCAGGUUUGAAUCCGUACGAAUGAAACCAUGUUACUGACCGCAAUCUAUCAAAUAAGAAAGGCAAAAGCCAGAGAUCAGGACUCUUCGACCAGGGACUAGCCGCUACAUCUCAGAGCUAUUAACUCGCAGAGGUUAUUCCAUAGCAGGUCUCAUCUAUCUAAGUUAAGCAAAGGAAAACGGAGUCAACUGUCCAAAGAGUCCUAAAACCGGCCUCAACCCCUCACAUGAAAGGAGAGGAAAAGUGAGAACGAUUAUGAGAGAAGGAUAAAAGGAAAAAACUUCCAUGAAGCAUGGGUUCAAACCUCAAAACUCCCAGAAAGAUUUAGAUAAAGUCAGAAAGCAUCAAAAUAGAAGUUGCGCUUUCUUCUUAUUUAAUAGAAUGAAUGACUUCCGGAGGUCCGGAGGUCCGACUAUUCACUGGGGAAUGUAAGAGGAUAUGUUCAGGAGCGGACCUCAAUGAACCUCAAUGAUUUUGGAGGGGUAGGACUCGUUUUCAAGAAAGGAUAUAAGUUUGAGUCAUCCGUGUCGGAAGAAGGAAGAAAAAGAUCAUAAUAUCUAAAAGACGUAGAAGCAAAAAUAUCCAUCAGACGAGACCUGUCCUUUUGACCUCUUUCACCCCCGUCCUCCCUCCAAAAUAAUAUGAUGAAUAGUCGCAAUAUUGGGCCUCUGUAGCUUAAUAUGGGAACCUAAUCAAUAUAUAAAGACUUCUUGAAUAUGAAUUCAUCCUCAUCUGGAGCCUCCUUUGUUUUUCUUUAAAGUAAUAGCUAUGAAUAGUCCAAAAACAAAGGUCCGAAGGCGCAAAGAAUAUUGACGAAAAGAAGAAUGAACUCAUUAACGAGAAUGAAAGAAGAAUUAUGAAUCUCCUAGAUUGAAGACGGAGGGUCAAAGAAUAUUGAGAAGAAUAGACCCGUAUUUCUCCGGACCAUAAACUCAAACUAGAACUGAGAAAUGUGAAUUUCGAAAAUCAAAUAGGACAAUGCCUUGCUAUUUCCCGGCUUUUUUGCUUCUAAAUGUGACUUUUUCGACUUAUCUUAUCUAACGAUAAAAGUACUUUUUUGACGGAUUUUUCAUGAUUUCUUGCUACUUUAUAGGCCCAAAACCUAGCAAAAUCUUGUAUUUCCCUCCGCGGAUUCAUCUGAAAUCUAGCUCUGAAAUCUAGCAGAUUCAUAAUUCUUCUUGACUUUUCAAUUCUCGUUAAUGAACUUCUCAACAAGAAAAGAAAGAAUUGAAUAUGGAUAAAGAAGUCCGAAGGACUGAUUGAUGCUACCGCCUUAACUACGGCUACUGCAACAACGGAAAGGGAUGCCUAAUCCUCAGGUCUCGUCUUCAUGAAAGGCGUGUCCUAGUCGAAUGAAAGAAUGCUGGCCUAUCAAAGAAAGAUCUCAUUCUCAAUUCUGAGACCCCUAUUAGUCCCCUAUGUUCCGAGGCUAGUCCUCCCCGUUCUCGAUCGAUUGAUACUGGACGGUGGGUGACCGCCUUAUCCGACCCCUGUACAUUAGUCGAUUUUCAUCCAUCGGUCAAAGUCAAAGAAAACCCAUUCUUCACAGGUUCACCAAAAAGAGAGGCAUUUCACCGCCUCAUCAAUAUUGUGAGAUUCAAAUAAAUUAGGCUUGAUUUGAUAUUGGUCAUUCUCGAGCUUACCACCGAGCGAUCGAAGGACGGAUUCAACCUCUCAUGCCCUAGCCUGCUGUUCCGAUUUCAAUGGCACCUACUUAACGGAUGAACUCAAGAAAGAAGAUUUCCGCUUUCUUUUAUGCAUCGCACCUCUGUUCUCGCUAUGUGCCUAUUUUAGUAGAAUGAAUUCCCUUGAACCAAUAUCCGAAGUUGCAGGCUCCCAUAAGACAGAGAUAUUCUUUGCCUUCCACUAAAAAACUUGUUUAUCCACUAUCGUAGGCCUUCUUCAAUUCAAUGGGGACCCUAGUGUACGAGCCUAAUGCUCUUUAUUUGCUUCUGCCGAUUCCCCGCUUGGAUCAGACAAGGCGGUAGAAGUUUGACGGAUAGUCAAGGAUCCCUCUUUCUGAAAGUAUGUCAAGAGCAUACUUGAGCUCAGAAAGACACACACCAUGCUAUCAUUGAUCUACUGAAAUGCCAAGUCUGGAAAUCUUGUUAAGAAAUGAUGCCCACUACGCGGUUGCGGCUCUUGAGCUGAGCCAGUUUCGAUUCUAGCCGUUCUUGAUUUCGAUAGGGAAUGAAAGGCCUAAUAACCUUGAACUGGUCGAAAGGAUUGAUGUAUUUCCAAGUCAAAAGAGAAAUCACGCUAUUCAAGCUGAUCGAAACUAAGCCAAAGACUUCAACGCGAACAAGAGCGAGGGCCUAUCCGGGAACAACCUGUCCUCCGCUCUCGCAAUAUUCUUUGCUCCUUACUAUUUUUGCGUAUAUACCCUUGUUUUUCUUCCGCGCCUACUCCGAUCAUUCUUUGAGCCUCCGUAGGUCCUCUCUUUCUAGGUCAAUGCAAAUUCAGGCUCAAGAUGAGAUUCUUUCUUUUUCCAUAUUAACUUCUUAAUGGUAUACAAGAAAAGGAUGGUAAAAUAAUGGUAUACAUGGAUGAAAUAAGCCAAAGGCUAGAGGGUCAUGAAUAAGGCGUGAAAUUCCCUACCACUGUGAUCUAGCAACUUCUACUGCAACUAAGACUUAUGAAAGCGACCGCUGCCACAAGAAAAGCUAGGACCCGCCCGCUUCCUCCUGUUUAGCUCUCACCUUUCUCUUCUCUCGACUUCUAAGUCUGAUCAAUUCUCAACUCAUCUGGAGCUUGAUUUUUCAAUUCUGUCGAGGUUAAGGCUUUGCUUCGCUUCCAUCGAUCCGCGCCCUACGAUUGAUCUUACCCUAGCUUACUCCCCUAUUCACUCACACCUUCAGACCUCGGUCCCGAUCUGGUCAAUCCAAUCAAUCCAGUCGAUCCUGAAAGCAUUACAUACUUGAUUCUCCUACUCUCAUUCAGUUACUCUUUGAGUCUCUCAUGAAAGAAUGAAAUACCUUUCCGCCUACCCACCCGGAAGUCAAAACCUAUCUUUAUAGAAGGAGGCGCCAUAAGACAGGUCCGAAGGACUAUCCAUUAGGGGAUUGAGAGAGAACUCAAAUCAAAACCGAUGUGAAUUCAGGCUAAAAUCAAGGCUUUUGACUCCUCGCAAUAUUCUUUGCGCCUGUCUGUCCGAAGGACGGGAUAUUCUUGCUAUUACUUUGAAAACAAUGUAGAUGUAGAAAAGAUUCCACAAAUAUUUACGGGAGAGUAGGUAGGUCGGAAGGGGGAAUCUCAGCUCCCUCAAGAGGAAAGGAAUCGUCCGAGGCAGUGGAAGUCUACCUUUCAUCAUCAGAGGCAGAAGUGGUCAGUCGUAGUUGUAGUUCUUCUUUCAGUUGCUUUAGUUCUUCCAGGAGAAGUAGCUUAGUAGUUCGAUCGAUCGGGUGCGGUUAUCAGAAGCUCUCCUGUAGCCGCUCGACUUGAGAGGGUCCCUCUCUCUCCUAUUCACACCGCCUCAAUGGAUCUCUCUUUCUCCGCAACUAAUAUUUCAUUGAGCCUCUCUCAAAUUCUUUGAGCCUUCCGAAAGCAAGAUAAAAGAUAGGAGAGUUGGACAAAGCAAGAACUCAGAUAGAGGAAGAAGACAAAUUAUCCGUUAGAGGAAUGAUCCGUAGAAAGAUUAUCAGCUAGGGAACGGAAAGAGUUGGAGUCUGUAUUCUCUGGAUCGGGUAGAAUCUCCAUUCAGUCCCGUAAAGUAAAGCUGCUGAUUAAGUAAGAAAGGCCGAGUUCCAUAUGAGGGUAGACCGAGUUGGAGCCCUUGCUCCUCUUCCUGUGUGAGGAAGGUUGCCCUUGUUUUGUUCAUUGAGGCGGUUCUUGCUGCUAUAAUAAUAAGAUCAGACUUCUCUUCUUCGAUCGGUAAGCUCCUUAUUCAUGAAAAGGCGGAUUUCUCUUUUUUCUCUAUUUGGGCAAUGCUUCUUGUUAAAGACUCUUUUGUGACUCUGAAAUCAAGGGGUCGAUGAAAUUGACGGAUUGAGCCCACUCCGCGGGAAGAACUUAUCCACGAUCUUACAAUAGACCUGUCAGUAUCCGGACCAUAAACUCAAACUAGAAGUCUGAAUUUCUUUUACCUGUCCUAGGCUUGAUUCUUUCAUUGCAAUUUCCCGGCUUUUUUGCUUCUAAAUGUGACUUUUUUGAAGAUUGAUAUUUAACGAUAAUUGAGUGAAAAAGAAGGCAUUUGACUUGAUUUCUUGCUACUUCCCUAUGGGCAAAACCUAGCAAAAUCAUGUAUUUCCCUCCGUAAAAACAAGGUUAUUCAAUCUGAAUUAUUCUUUCAUUCUCGUGUAUUCUUUCAUUCUCGUGAAUGAGCUUCUUUCACUUUCAGCAAUGAGUCCUUCGGCUAGGCGCAAAGUUCGGUUAAUUACGGAAAGUCCUCCGGAUAAAUCCUCCGGACAGGUGACGGGGGAGAGGAGCAAAAAUAGUAAGGAGUCUUAAGUCCAGAGGCUCCAUAAGACAGGGAUAUUGUGAGAAGGACUUUAUCAAGCUUAACUUCUUUUCUCUUGUUCAAGCAAAAGCUUAGAUUGUGAAUUCACUCAUAUAAUAUCGUUGAUGAUAGAAUCUCCAAACAAAGCAAACUCACUCACGAAAAGUGGACAUCAUAAAGUGGAAGAGGGACUCAGUUUCUCGACCAGGACUAAGUUGCUCGCCCAAUGGCCUGGUAUCCUUAUGUUUAGGUUGUCCCAUCCCUUUCUCUUGCACCAGUCGCAGUGGUUGAAACCAGAGUUCUUGAACUAGAUUUCGUUCUUGUAUCCUCCCCGCUUUCUCUUUCAUCUGGGAACGACGAAGAUAACGAAGGCACAUCAUGAGAAAGAUCGGAGGCUCAAUUCACAUCCAUAAAUAAAGGGGUCUUGUGCGAGGCGGCUAUUCACUCUCUCCAUUCCCAACUUGAAAAAGAAGGUAUUGAGAAGAAAGCCUAGGAUGAAAACCGUCCAUGAAGGAGCGCCCGCCGUGCAAUCAGAAGACAGAUCGGAAGUUAGCAGCUCCUCCUCACACAGAGGUGGGCGGCAGUUCGACCAGCAGUGCUUAUCCUUUAGUCCUUGUCUCUGUGGCAGAAGUCGUUCUUUCUUUUCUUGUACAUGUAGUAGAAAGAGUGUCGGAACUAGUCAUUAAAUGGUCGGCGAUUAUGAGAUUCGAAUGUAUGAACGAUCAAUGAAGAAGGCGCAAAGAAUAUUGCGGAACCGUAAAUGAGCCCUUUUUUUUGCCUCUCGCCCACGGAUGAAACCCAAAGAGACAAGGCCUUUUAUUGUAAUUGUACAUCUUUUACGCAAGGAGACUAGGUUCACGAAGUCGACCGCCUACUCAUUUCAUUUGGAAGAAGAAGAAAGUCAAAAGAAGAAUGAGUCCGACGCCUAAGGCGACCUUGUAUUUCUGCUUUUGCACUUUCACAGGUUUUUCUGCUUAGUUGCCCUCAGGGCUGACUCUGGAUGGAAUGUCCUAAGGUUAGCCCUAGAUCUUAUUGACUUGGUAGGGACAAGUGGAGUGAGAGGAUGAAACUGAAGAAGACCUGGAUCAAGUAAAUGAGCCCUCUCUUUCUUAGUAUGUGGUCGAGUCAACUCAUCUGGAGCUUUUAUUGAGUACAAAACGACUGAGAGUUCCAAGAGCAUCUGCAGGUCGAGCGAGCGGAUCCAGUGUGCGUCCUCUUCAUCUCUGGUCUUUCCUUUCUGGUGGAGCACCCUUUUCGCUUACUCUGUGAUGUAAGAAGAAUUCCAUGAAAGCAUACUCACUGUACCGCGCCCAACUUGGCUAGUUCGAGAUCAGAGAAUACCGCUUCUCCUUUUGCUAGCUACUUCCCUCCUUCUCCCCUCGUCGACUAGCUCUACCCUUCCCCGCUCCGUGGGCUUGGGCUGCCGAAAGAGACUUAAAGAGCAGUCCGAAACAUUGUAAACUCUAUCUCUCCUUCCUUCCGUUGUCAAUUUUGAACCUUGACUUUCCCUAUGAUCAUAGAGUGAAUUGGGGAUUGAUUUCAGAAAAGAUAGUGAUAAUGGAGUUGCCCGACUAGGUCGAGCUAUGAAAACCUCUUGACUUCGGCUAGCCCUCUUUUUAGAUAUUAUGUUCAGUUACAGGGAAAGGCUGAUAAGGGCAACUUCUCAUUCUUAUCCGAGCCCUAUCUCCUCUUAUCAAAUCUCUUUCCUUAUUCACAUUAAGAAAGGGAAAGAAUUAGUUAGUUAUGAAGACCGAUCCUUCUCAUUCUUACGGGUAUAGGAAGUUGAAAGUUCCUCAUAUCCUUUAUUCUUCAGAUUUGCACUGGGGAUACGAAUAUGGUACAGCCACAAGAAAAGCUAAUUCGGGGACAAGGCCAGCUACUUCAACGGAUGAAACUUCCGAAGCUGCAACAUCCACUGAUUCAGCCACUCUCGUGCGCGCGGUCUUCCCUAACUCCUCCCCGGUAUCGCGUCCCAAUUCCUACUAUUCCUUGCGGGUCAAGAUGAGAUUCUUUCUUUUCUGGCCUUAGGCCCAAUGAAAUAUGCCUUGCGUCCCACUAUUUAAUGAUUUUGGAGGUGCAAAGCUCAAAUACUUUGAUCCUUAUCAAUGAUCUUUGCUCGUCCUUCGUAGCUUAAUAAUGGAUAAAGAAGUCCUUCGGACAGAUCCAUUGACAAGAAAGCGCAACUUCUAUUUUG